GAGCCAUGCGGACGCUUACCGUGCAGUCGAGGGGCAGCGGGGGAGGGAGCGUUGCUUUCUCCUGCCGGCGACCGGCGCACGGGUGAGUAACACGUAUGCAACCUGGCCGUCACAGGUGGAUAACCGGAAGAAAUUCCGACUAAUACAGCAUAACACUCCUGAGGGACAUCCCUUGGGAGUCAAAGGAGGCGACUCCGGUGGCGGAUGGGCAUGCGGCGCAUUAGGUAGUUGGUAGGGUAACGGCCUACCAAGCCGACGAUGCGUAGGGGUUCUGAGAGGAAGGUCCCCCACAUUGGAACUGAGACACGGUCCAAACUCCUACGGGAGGCAGCAGUGAGGAAUAUUGGUCAAUGGCCGGAAGGCUGAACCAGCCAAGUCGCGUGAGGGAAUAAGGCCCUAUGGGUCGUAAACCUCUUUUGUCAGGGAGCAAAGGCGUCCACGUGUGGACGAAAGGAGAGUACCUGAAGAAAAAGCAUCGGCUAACUCCGUGCCAGCAGCCGCGGUAAUACGGAGGAUGCGAGCGUUAUCCGGAUUUAUUGGGUUUAAAGGGUGCGUAGGCGGAGUGUCAAGUCAGCGGUAAAAUUUCGGGGCUCAACCCCGUCGUGCCGUUGAAACUGACGCCCUUGAGUGAGUGAGAAGUAAGCGGAAUGCGUGGUGUAGCGGUGAAAUGCAUAGAUAUCACGCAGAACGCCGAUUGCGAAGGCAGCUUGCCGGCGCUCAACUGACGCUGAGGCACGAAAGUGCGGGUAUCGAACAGGAUUAGAUACCCUGGUAGUCCGCACAGUAAACGAUGAAUGCUAGAUGUCCGGGGCGAAUGAGUCCUGGGUGUCACAGCGAAAGCGUUAAGCAUUCCACCUGGGGAGUACGCCGGCAACGGUGAAACUCAAAGGAAUUGACGGGGGCCCGCACAGCGGAGGAACAUGUGGUUUAAUUCGAUGAUACGCGAGGAACCUUACCCGGGCUCAACGCUCAGGAAUCAUUUGUGAAAACAGAUGAGUCU
rnacentral:rRNA from 1 species